rnacentral:rRNA from 1 species
UGGGGAAUAUUGCACAAUGGAGGGAACUCUGAUGCAGCGACGCCGCGUGAACGAAGAAGGCUUUCGUGUUGUAAAGUUCUUUUAUAUGGGAAGAUAAUGACGGUACCAUAAGAAAAAGCCCCGGCUAACUACGUGCCAGCAGCCGCGGUAAUACGUAGGGGGCUAGCGUUGUCCGGAAUCACUGGGCGUAAAGGGUUCGCAGGCGGAAAUGCAAGUCAGGUGUAAAAGGCAGUAGCUUAACUACUGUAAGCAUUUGAAACUGCAUAUCUUGAGAAGAGUAAGGGUAAGUGGAAUUUUUAGUGUGGCGGUGAAAUGCGUAGAUAUUAAAAAGAAUACCGGUGGCGAAGGCGACUUACUGGGCUCAUUCUGACGCUGAGGAACGAAAGAGUGGGUAGCAAACAGG